AUUGAACGCUGGCGGCAGGCCUAACACAUGCAAGUCGAACGAGUGGCGGACGGGUGAGUAAUGUCUGGGAAACUGCCCGAUGGAGGGGGAUAACUACUGGAAACGGUAGCUACUACCGCAUACCAUCGGAUGUGCCCAGAUGGGAUUAGCUAGUAGGUGGGGUAACGGCUCACCUAGGCGACGAUCCCGAGCUGGUCUGAGGGGAUGACGAGCCACACUGGAGCUGAGACACGGCCCAGACGCCUACGGGAGGCAGCAGUGGGGAAUAUGGGACAAUGGGGGCAAGCCUGAUGCAGCCAUGCCGCGUGUAUGAAGAAGGACUUCGGGUUGUAAAGUAAUUUCAGCGAGGAGGCGUUACUCGCAGAAGAAGCACCGGCUAACUCCGUGCCAGCAGCCGCGGUAAUAC
rnacentral:rRNA from 1 species